GAUGAACGCUGACAGAAUGCUUAACACAUGCAAGUCCAAUGUGGCGGACGGGUGAGUAACGCGUAAAGAACUUACCUCACAGUUAGGGACAACAUUUGGAAACGAAUGCUAAUACCUGAUACUGUAAGAGAGCUUUGCGUCCCAUUAGCUAGUUGGAGAGGUAACGGCUCACCAAGGCGAUGAUGGGUAGCCGGCCUGAGAGGGUGAUCGGCCAAAAGAGGACCGGGUCACGGCCCAUACUCCUACGGGUGGCAGGAGUGGGGAGUAUUGGACUAUGGGCCAAAGUCUGUUCCAGAAAUUCUGUGUGCACGAUGAAAUUGUCGGAAUGUAAGGUGCUUUCAGUUAGGAAGCGGUACCAGCAGAGGAAGUGACGGCUAAAUACGUGCCAGCAGCCGCGGUAAUUC
rnacentral:rRNA from 1 species